rnacentral:lncRNA from 1 species
GUCCAUCCAUGAUUAACUAAAAAUUUUCAUGUGAGUUAACUAAAACUAGGAAUCUGAGAACAGUCGAUGCUCAUUGGAUCAUGCAACAGUACCAUGCAGCAAGAUAUACAUAUGAAAUAUGUGGUGCAUGGAUGUGUCCGUCCAUGUGAUGUAUGUACAUGGUUGCUCGCCUCAAACAUCAUGGUGAAUGAGAGGUAGAUAUUUCUGCAUCUGUCAAAAUGAAUCCAUGAGCACUUGAACCUGAUUUAGAUCAUCAAAAUGACGUGAUGCACAUCAAAACUAGCCGCCCCG